rnacentral:piRNA from 1 species
UCCCAGCCAUGGAGAAGGACCAGCCA